rnacentral:rRNA from 1 species
CCUACGGGAGGCAGCAGUGAGGAAUAUUGGACAAUGGGCGCGAGCCUGAACCAGCCAAGUAGCGUGAAGGAUGACUGCCCUACGGGUUGUAAACUUCUUUUAUAAAGGAAUAAAGUGAGGCACGUGUGCCUUUUUGUAUGUACUUUAUGAAUAAGGAUCGGCUAACUACGUUCCAGCAGCCGCGGUAAUACGGAGGAUCCGAGCGUUGUCCGGAUUUAUUGGGUUUAAAGGGAGCGUAGAUGGGUUGUUAAGUCAGAUGUGAAAGUUUGCGGCUCAACCGUAAAAUUGCAAUUGAUACUGGCAGCCUGGAGUACAGUUGAGGUAGGCAGAAUUCGUGGUGUAGCGGUGAAAUGCUGAGAGAUCACGAAGAACUCCGAUUGCGAAGGUAGCCUACUAAACUGCCACUGACAUUGAUGCUCGAAAGUGUGGGUAUCAAACAGGAUUAGAUACUCGGGUAGUC